UACGUAGGGGGCAAGCGUUGUCCGGAUUCAUUGGGCGUAAAGGGCGCGUAGGCGGCGCGGAUAGUCGGCGGUGAAAGCCCGGAGCUCAACUCCGGGUCGGCCGUCGAUACUUCCGGGCUUGAGCACUGUAGAGGCAGAUGGAAUUCCGGGUGUAGCGGUGGAAUGCGUAGAGAUCCGGAAGAACACCGGUGGCGAAGGCGGUCUGCUGGGCAGUUGCUGACGCUGAUGCGCGACAGCGUGGGGAGCAAACAGG
rnacentral:rRNA from 1 species